GUACGAGAUGUUCCCACAUCAGCAAGUUUUACUGUAAGAGAAGAUGUGCUCUGAGAAGACUUCCACGGUGGAUAUGGCCUCGCCUUGGGCUCUGGCUCUGUUUCCAAACUUGUCACACAGACUGGUGCAUGAGCACCCUUGGUACUGCCCUUGUCUGUCAAGCUGGGCCACAGACAGAGACAGGCCUCGAGUUGUUUCCCGAAGCCCUCUGGAGCUGAGGAUGGCCUCCAGGGGGACCAGGCUUAGCAAAGUGCAAAGUGGCCCAGGAGCAUCCCUGCUCAAUUCAACAGCAAGGCGAAGACAAGAGCUGACGAACAAAACGGAAAACAACUUUCCCAGACCUCAGAGAGAACACUUGGCAUUCCUGAGGGACAGCUGCUUGCUGGUAGAAGUUAUGAUAAUAAACUAAACUGGGUGAGCAUUUCCUAAGAAGAAAUAUUUAAUUAUCCUGCUCACCAUUAUGAGGAACUUCUGCCACUCUUCAUGUUAUUAUACAGUAAAUAACCAUUUUUCUAAAGGACAGAGCUGUUUUAAUUAUAUGACAAUGAAUGCAUAAUUAUUAUGUUUGUUAGGAAUGAAUCGCAAGACAACAGACUUGAUAUUGCUGCUCUGGUUAGUGCAUCUUAAUUACUUUUUCAUUUAUUUUGCAUAUAAAAGCUAUUUGCUAAUUGUCUUUGCUGUAAAUAUGCAAAAUAUAAUUAGUCAUUCAUAAUUCUUUAUGUGUUAUCUAACUGUACAU
ensembl:lncRNA